rnacentral:rRNA from 1 species
GAGAGUUAAACAGUACGUGAAAUUGUUGAAAGGGAAACGAUUGAAGCCAGUCGUACCUUCGGGUAAUCAGCCUUUCGGGUGCGAUUAUGUGGAGUGUGAGGAGCUUAAACACCUUCAUGUUUUGCAUAUUCGUACUCUUGGGUGUACUUGCCCGUGUGGUUGGUUAACAUCAAUUUUGGUGGUCAUAAAAUGACUGGGGGAAUGUAGCUUCGAUCUUGUAUUGAAGUGUUAUAGCCUUCGGUAGAUGUGAUGAUCGAGAUUGAGGAUUGCAACGGAUACCCUUCGGGGCUACCUGUCUGGUCUCUGAUCGUUGCUCUGGUGCCGAAAGCUUGCUUACGGUUAUCAAAGUCGAUGGUCAAUAGGUUAGAACGGGUUAAAUUCGUUAAGGAUGUUGACGUAAUGGCUUUAAACGA